rnacentral:rRNA from 1 species
CAGCCGCCGCGGUAAUACCAGCAGCCCAAGUGGUGGUCGCGAUUAUUGGGCCUAAAGCGCUCGUAGCCGGGCCGGUAAGUCCCUUGUGAAAUCGGACGGCCUAACCGUUCGGCGUGCAAGGGAUACUGUCGGUCUUGAGGCCGGGAGACGUCCGAGGUACUCCGGGGGUAGCGGUGAAAUGUUCUGAUCCUCGGGGGACCACCGGUGGCGAAGGCGUUCGACGAGAACGGGCCUGACGGUGAGGGGCGAAGGCUAGGGGAGCAAACGGGAUUAGAUACCCCAGUAGUCCCUGUCUCUUAUA